UGACACAAGAUAAUCAGUUAAUUGUGUCGAUUCAUAUUUCACGGAAUUCCCCCAAACGAGAUUUCAUUAUCGAAUGAAUACGAGUGGAUACGAAUGUUUGAAUAAGUAAUUCGUCAGUCUCGCAAUUUUAUACGGAUCAAUCAUAACUUGUCUGAUUCCAUCGUUUUGACAAGAAAUUCAUGAUUAAAAUUUUAUCUCACCGAGACUGUGUCAAUGACGAAACGUCACACGAUGAUAUCGACAAAGGAAUUCGAUAUCGUGAAAAAAGAAAUUGGCAAUUUUUUAUUUACCAAAUCAACAGAUUCAGGGACAAUCGAGGAGUAAUCGUUGAGAUAGUAUUUUUCCAAGUGCAACUUAGUGUUUACAUUGUUUGAAGUGGUAGAGAAGAUAUUGUUAUAGCGAUUGUCAUGAUGGUAUCACUUACGUGCUACUGAACUCCUUCAUCUGAUUGCCAGGAUUCUCCUUUUCACUAGUUUUCUUCCACAUUUUGAAUUUCCAAUUUCUGAAAGAAGAAUAAAUCAGUGGAAUGAGAUGAAUCGACUAAAUGUUUUUCUGCAGAAUCAUGAGACUGGGGAUCUUCGUCGUUAACUUGGGAAAAACCAGCGGAUGAAAUCUGUUGCCGGAUUGGAUCCAUAAAUAAUAUCAUAACAUUCUUCCGUGAUAACUCUAGUACGAGAACCGGUUGCGAUAAAUAAUGAGCACAAGGGAUCAUUAUUCCCCCACUUUUCGCACAAAAAAACAGAAGUUUGCUGGGUCUGACACAGGCAGUUCGUGGGCCUUUUCCCCUUUGAAUCCAAUCCAAUGCCACUCCAAUGAGGAUCACGACUGGGCUAUGCUUGGAAUGCCAUUUUUUGUAGCGCACGGAGUAAAAAAUUUAGAGAACAUUGCCUUGACGGGAAUUGGAAACGUCCAAAGAAAAUUUCGAAUUCCAUGAACUGGUUAGUAGGAAUUUCCAAGAGAGACGCGGAAAUUGAUUCAAAGCCUGAACAUUAUGAAUUUUUCAAUUUCAAUAUGAAUUAAAUUAAUGAGAGCCUCUGACUUAUUCAUACUUUACUCUUCGAAUCAAUCCCUUCGUCAAAAAUGAUGACUAGACUAUCCUUAAAAUUACAAAAGGAGUAACCUUGGGAAAAAAGGCGAUACAAAUUCUCUCCACGUGGAACUGAAAAAAUAUCGAGGACUAGAACACAAGAGUUCUCCAAGUAAUUUUAAAUAUCGGUACCAAAUCGGCCUAGAAACGUAAUCAGUAGAAAAUUGAAGAAUAUAGUCAUCUGAAUAGUCCAACAUUAGAAAAAAACUAUUAACAAACUAACCUGAAAGAACAGUUUUUAUUGAUAAAAAAUUUUCAAUUUUUUUUCAUGAAAAACUGAAGUGUAAAUGUCCCAGAUCUCUCGAAAUUUCAGUGUAACUAUCACUCGGUAAAUAUUACUAAAAAGUAUUGGAACGAUGCAAAAAUUGUCUAGUCAAAACCGACGUACAUCGAUCAACCAGAAAAUCCUCAACACUGCACACAUUUCCUAGUCCUGCCUGCUUAUAAUUUCAAAAUAGUGCGAUAAGCAGUGUCAUUCAUGAGAAUCGAUAAAUGUCAUGAAAAAUUCCAGAAAAAAAAAAAAGUAUUGGAGAGACUAUUCAUCAACAGUUGAAGACAGCGUAAGGUCGAGAAUCUUUUCCCGGAGGUGUCAGUGAAACUCUUUGUCAUUGGCACCAAAUCGAAUGCGGAACUGCGAUCUAACUCGAUUAAACCAUCCGUGACGAGUAUUUGUAUUGUGCGAGGUCGAGUUGUAUGAGUUUGGAGGACAGACGUGAUUUAAUUGACCGGAAACUAGUACUUCGAGAGCCCUUGGUUUAAAUGUUGACAAGUUUCUUCAUGAAUGGAGAUAAAUUCACUCCACAAUUUUUCCUGGAAUUUUGAAAAAUCUAUAAAUUGAUAACAAGAGACCUCGCACUCACUCGAAUUGACUGUUCAAAUAUGAAGACUCAUUACCGAAUUAUUCUAAUUAUUCGAUUGGUUGAAUAAUGAACCAUAUAUGCCAUAAAAAAUUAUAUAAAUAAAUUUGUACAGAUGUAUACAAAUGUCUAGACAAUUGUCGCGAAGGCAGAUGUUAAAGUACAGAAGCCCUUUUCGUGAUCAAUUAUAUUCAACAGAGAAAAUCAAUAAAAGCAUAAACUAUGCCGUUCAACAGCAAAUAAACUAUGUAAAUUUUUAAUGCAAAUAACGUCGAUUGACUCAACUCGACGGUAUAAAUAAUAUUGGCAGAACGCGCUAAGAAUACACAGUAAAAACAAAUACCUGAAAUUCACGUAUCUUCUGUUAACAUUUUUCAGGCGCUAAAAAAUGUCUGGUAAAUGCAAAAAUUAUCUGAAUUUCAGACAAACCGGUGCCUGGACAUCGUAACUCAUGAUUGAGAUUCAAAGAAAUUUUUAUUUCAUUCAGACGUUUUUUCACGUCUGAACAAUGUCUGCAAAAGGUUAUUUUUAUGCAACUUUUAUGCCUCGAGAGGAAUGAAUAAUUAUGAAGCGAGAUGAGAUGAGGAUGUUUUACGAUGACAUUUGUGAUCACUUUGGAUUCUCCAAAUCCAUCACAACUACCCCCCAUUUUCCUGUACUAAACAGACAUUUUUGUUAGAUUUUUUUCCCCGCGUUAAAUAUGUAACUUAUGAUUAAAUAACUCAAAAAUUUAUGUAAGUUCACACCGCGAAUCAGAGUAAAAUGCACGAAAUACUGAACAGCUCAUGCAAUCAGCAAGUUUAUGCUCUGAAAAAGAAUGUGUAAGUGCGAAGUUGGAUGAAAAAAGACAGUUCACGGUGCCAUUUGUGAUUAAUUUUACACAGAAAAAGAUAAUCACGAUUCAUUACAUCAGAAAUGAUUGAAAACAUGGAGAUAAAUAAUUACUUCUCUCCUACAAUACCGUAGUGCAUGUAAAUGAGAUUUUUAUCGAGAGGAAAACAUUGACUUGUGAGUAAUCGACUAGACCAAUGGAAGAAGCUGAAGUUAUUUUAGAAACAAAUUUUUUUUCUAAUUAUUUUAUCUAUUGCAGGAGAAGAAAAUUAUUUUAUCGGGCUGAUUUAAUGUGGGGGAUUCUAACAAAUAAAAAUGUCAAUUAGUGGGACUCGAUACCUUCGAAAUUUGAAACAUUCGCUCCGACUGAUCCUUUGGUAGCGAAUUCUUCUGAAAUUCCACAUAAUAAUGUGGUCCAACAUACGGAAAAAGUCCAAUUUGAAUAUUAAUUUUUUUCCGCUCGGUAUAAGAUAAUAAAACGUUAUUUUCUGAGUUUUCCAGACUUUUCAGAUCAAUAUUUUAUUUUUAAUAAAAUUUUCUAUCAAUUAUUUUAUGGGAAUUCAAUGGUUUUGUGUUAGUCUUUUGUGGUAUUCCACGAUAAUUGUUGCGUGCGGGUAACUGGACGGUUCGUAAAAAUUAAAAAAAUUCUUCUUCGAGUAGUGAAUCUUUUAAUUUGCAAGUUCGACGGUACUUCCCCCCAACAUUUGAUACAAAUUGCUGGGACUAUAAACGCAAAAUUUUAACAACACAACACUUCAAUUUCAGCCGCAACAACUCUAGCCAUAAGCAACUGAGGAAAAUGAGUGACAUUGCAACGCCACAUGUUAUCACCCUCGCGAUAGUACAGUAUUCGAAAAAAAUGGAAAUUUUUUUAUCACUGGACUGACAAUUUUCAAGGGAUUUAUAGGAAAUGCAAAAAAUUAUGAUUUGACUGGAAUGCUAAUGAAAUAUUUCAGUGAAUCGUAGCACGUUCAAAAAUACAAAAAUACAAAAAUACAAAUAAAUUUGGAAAUUUAUUCCCAUUCGUUCAGUGAAAUGUAAACGAUUAAUUAACAGGAAUAAAAACAAAUUCUCUUCAUCAAUUUUUGAAAUGAAUACAACAUUUUGUGAAUGUUUUUAAUUAAAAUUAUGAGAUUGUUACUGAAAUUUUAAGUUAAAUCCAAAAGUUGUACCAGAACUUUCAAUAAAAAAUAUUUAUCAAUGAAAUAAA